rnacentral:rRNA from 1 species
GAUGAACGCUGGCGGCGUGCUUAACACAUGCAAGUCGAACGAAGAAGAGUUGAAUGAGAGCUUCGGCAGGAUUUCUUCUCAUCUUAGUGGCGGACGGGUGAGUAACGUGUGGGCAACCUGCCCUAUACUGGGGAAUAAUCACUGGAAACGGUGACUAAUACCGCAUGUCAUCACCGGAGGGCAUCCUCUGGUGAAAAAAGGAGCAAUUCGGUAUAGGAUGGGCCCGCAUCUGAUUAGCUAGUUGGUGAGAUAACAGCCCACCAAGGCGACGAUCAGUAGCCGACCUGAGAGGGUGAUCGGCCACAUUGGGACUGAGACACGGCCCAAA